rnacentral:lncRNA from 1 species
UGGGGCAAAACCGUGCAUUGAGAAGAGACUAUGAAACCUCCUUCAAAGCGGACAAUACUUCUGAGGAAAAGCAGUCGCCUCCGCUAUCUGAGACCGGUAGGGAUGAGGUCGGAGGGCGGCAGAUCUCUCUGUAACGCUGGACGCGCGGGUCGGAGGCCGAUCUCCCUUGACCUCAUUAGUGACCAUUCCCUACCAUAGUACUGUUACAUGUCACACAUCUAUACACCAUGAAAACUAUGAUCAGAUAAAGUGAAACCUUUCUCCUUGGUAGAGAGGAGAGGGAGAUGUUGAAGAGAGUGG